rnacentral:rRNA from 1 species
UACGUAGGCAGCAAGCGUUGUUCGGAAUUACUGGGCGUAAAGAGUGUGUAGGCGGUGUCGUAAGUUUGGUGUGAAAUCUCCCGGCUUAACUGGGAGGGUGCGCUAAAGACUGCGAUGCUGGAGUAUGGGAGAGGAAAGCGGAAUUCCUGGUGUAGCGGUGAAAUGCGUAGAUAUCAGGAGGAACACCUGCGGUGUAGACGGCUUUCUGGACCAUCACUGACGCUGAGACACGAAAGCGUGGGUAGCAAACAGG